UGAUACCAUUUGUAACAGCCCAAGCCCACCGCUAGCAGAUAUUGUCCACUUUGGGCUUUUUCUUUCGGGUUUUCCCUCAAGGUUUUUAGAACGCGUUUGCUAAGGUUAGAUUUCAACACUUUUAUAAAGAACGAUUCGUUCUCCUCUCCAACUAAUGUGGACACCGGAAAUCUCUCUCUUGGAGUGCAUCUAAAUCAAAUAAGAGAAAUAACUGUUCAUCUUUGUUUGCGCGAUUACAUUUUUGCCCUCAGUUUUGUUUAUUUCUUGUCUUCCAUUAAUGAAAUGAUCAAGCACACACUGUAUCUUCAUCACUUCAUAUUUAUACAUUGUUGAAGUAAAUAUACAAGAAACAGGCAGAUUAGUACCCAUCAUCAUCUUGCCAUUCUAGCAGAAAGAAAUCAUUUACAAGAAAAGAUAGCUAACAAAAUCAAAACGACUGAUAAAAAUAAAGCAUAUACUUGCAUGGUUUCCAAUCCUGAUGGCAGAUCAGCAAGGAGAGAACGAGGUAGCAAUGAGAUCAGAUACCGCUCAAUUUCAUAUAUGGUAGAGAGUAGCACUGUAGAACGCGACACAGUUUUGGGGAAUUAUGGAAAAGUUGGAGGGAAGUCUAUUGGUGAGUUUGGAUGAAUUUUGGAAGGGUGAAUACUGCAGUAAAAAAGAAGAAAAAAAAAACAUGUUUCAUAGGAAAUUAAGGUUGACUUUUGCCGUGUCGGAACCAUUCAUAUGAGCCGAACGAUAAAGUUACAAUGUUAAAGAAGAGAGAUGUGUCACAUAUGAACUGAACGAUGAAGUGACGAUGCCAACGAUAAGAAACAUGUCUCAUAUGAACCAAACGAUGAAGUGACAAUGUUACAGAGAAUAGGCGCAUCCCAUAUGAACCAGACGAACGAUGAAGUGAUAAUGUGAUAGGGAUGAGACACAGCCCUCUUUCGAGCUAGACGAACGAUGAAGUGAUAAGCGAUACAAAAGCUCCACCUAACUCUAUCGACGAGACUCACCACCUCUUUUGAGCUAGCAAAGAAUUGAUUUUAUUGAUUUUGCUAGGUUUCAGAAAUGAUUAUAAUCCUUCUUUUUCAUAAUUUUUAUGAUAUGAUAUUGUUCAUUUCGAACAUAAAUUACCACGAUUUUAUUUUUUUCAUUUUACUCAAAACGAAAAUCUUCAGUACGAUGAUAAUAUUAUUCUUU